CCUCUUCAUUCCCUGGGGCGGCAGCGCGACCGAGAGCCGGGAGCCGUGGCCACUCAGGGGGACACGGGUCCUGUGACGUCCCCGGCGGGGCGUCCCCGGGGAAGGUAACCACCGCCCAAGCCUCAGUUUCUGCUCCGUAACUAGAGGUCGUCGUCAUUCCCCGACCUGCCGUGACCGCCGUGCACUUCCGUGACCACCGGCCUCCAAGCCCUGCGUCCACCCCGGAGGCCAAGCCGCCGUCCGUUCUCCUGGGCACCGUGGGCGCGUGGCCCCGAGUAAUGGAAUGUACGGCCUCCCCGGCCUCCCCGAGCUGAAAACAGACAAGACUUCCAAUUCUAGUGGGUCCCUCCCAGGGCACAUGAAGGGGGAUGGCUCCGGCCGAGGAAAAAUUCAGAACCUGUGACUCUUGUUCACGAGCACAUGCCGGGAUGUAGUCAUCUUCAGUUUAUGGAAAAUGUGGUCAGCCCCAUAAAUCAGUGCUGAGGAAUUCUUACAGAGUCAUCACCGAGCAAGUGAUGCGGAUCCGUCGCGAGUCUCCCGGAUUAUGCAAAACAAAAAAGAAUAAGCACGUGGACCAAGCUACCACAUAGUCGUCCCUGCCCUGGAACUCCUUCCCGGUUACCGCGGGGCAGCCUCGAACCCCCUUCCUACCCGCUCUGUGACCUUUCUCCUGAAGCUCCACGCAGACAUCAAGGUGCCUGCGGCCAUCGUCACGACUACAAGGACACAAUGCCCUGCAUCGCUUUCUCCCCUGUGCCUUAAAACUAUCAGGAUUUCUAUAAGGAAAGCCCAUUUACACGCAAGCCAGACCAUCCGUUAGGGACAGGGCUGAGACUACGGCCAAAUGCAUCCUAGUGCUUAGGCCUUCUGUCCUUCAAAUCUAUUAUUUUGUGCGAUCGGAGAACGACAACUCAAGGGGGUACUGUGUUUCUCAAAAGUGUGGAGACCAUCUUCGACUGUUAACACCGACUUUGGUUCAAAACCAGUAGGUUAAGAGAUUCGGUUUAGGUGGGAUUCGUUAGAGGACCCUCCAUCGGUUUGCAUUCCAUCGUGGUUGCUUUUUUUUUUUUUUUUUUUUUAAGAUUUUACUUAUUUAUUCAUAGAGACAGAGAGAGAGGCAGAGGGAGAAGCAGGCUCCAUGCAGGGAGCCUGACGUGGGACUCGAUCCUGGGACUCCAGGACCACGCCCUGGGCUGCAGGCGGCGCUGAACCGCUGCACCACCGGGGCUGCCCCAUCGUGGUUGCAUUUAACCCGUUAGCCCUUUCACGCCAGCGGGUGCUGCGUCUGGGGUCUUACCCACGAUAACCUCCCCUACGACUACUCAGGUUGACUCAGCUUAUGAAUCGGUUUCUGCCAAGCCGGUCAGCUGGAUUAACAAAUCCUAGCGGAGAGGCUUCUCAGGUGCCCUGAAGAACACGGGCCUGCAUACUUGACCAACGUAUCACGUCACGAGAAAACAGUACCGCUGAACCUGAGUUGAGGUAUCUCACUGUUUUGGUUUUUUUUUCAAUGUUUGAUGAGUCUCAUGCACACUUAAAAGAAAAGAAAAAAACUUUCUUAAUUUCCCACAGAAACCAGAUGUAUAAAGCCAAAUACCACCCCGAGGACAAACUUUAUGGCCCAGGCUCAUUUCUGUUAACGGGAGAGCCCGUACUUUACAAUUUGCUAUCACAGUGCGUUCUUAUUUACGUUUCUUAUUGACAAAUCCCACAUCCCAGAGGGGCCAAGUCAGCCCCGCACUUGUAUGGCCUGGUUGUUGUCACGUCGUACUUGCCUGCUGCCCCUGCCACAAGCGGGGGGCAGGGACAGCUAAUCGUACAAGCUAUGGAACUUUAGACCAAAUCCCCUUGCCCCCCCCCCCCCCCCCCCGUAAUUGAGCGCGAAGGAAGAGGGGCCUGCCUAAUACGCAGUGCUUUUCUGUUUUAUGAGUUGUGCCGGGUUGAAGAGUGAGCAGGGCCAACAAGUGGGUAUCCCGGAUGCACGUCCACUGCAAUGUGCUCUGAACUUCGGCAUCAACCCUUCGUGCAGAAGAGCACGAAGUCCAUAACCACCAUCAUCUUUGCCAUUGACCGAGCAUCGCUGCGCGUUCACCCCUGCGCCGAGCCCUUGACAGACAUUACCUUCUCCAACCAGCCCAAGCCUGACCUACCUUAUAAAGAUGAAGUUCAGAGAGGUUCAGUAACUUGCCUGGGGUUUUCCCACCAAGAAGGAAGUUCUCUGCCUGAAGUGAAACGAGUUCCAAACCAGGCGCCCGUGUUUUGCUUGUGGGUUAAUAUGCCCGACUCCCAGACAAGUGGAUGGACGAUGCCGUUGGCUGGGAGUUCAGGGAGCACUUGGUCCCAAGCUUUGUUUUGUGAAAUUUAGGGAAGAGAGACCAGCUCUUGCAAGAAGACAGAGCAAUAGCGUGAUGCCGGCGGAACUGGAGUUGUUUCCAGCAUUGAUGCCGUGUACACGGAACCAGUUACCAGCUUCUCUUGUCCUCCAUUUCCUCACUGACAGAAUGAAGAGGGGCCAGAUGGUUUCCAAGGGUCUCUGCUGGCUCCUCCCUUUCUGCCUCCUCUUAGUUGGGAGACACCCCAAGCUUGGCCCUGACCAUGUUGGGACAAAUCUUCACCAGGGCAGAAGGCCCUCCUGAGGUCUUGAACCAGUUGGGCCCAAUACCUCCUGGAAGACGGUGAGAGCUUUCUGUGGCCCCCAUUUCCCCGCCCCAUCUUGUGGCCCUGGCAUCUUGUUGGUCACCACUGGCCACUGCUGCUGCAGAGGCAAAAUCCAGCCCUACCUCUUCCACUCACUGUACCUACAGAUGAAGAAGCUCAAGUCCUAGGAGGUUUAACUCAAUGUAUUUCUGUCAAAAUCCUUCCCAGAAAAAACAAGUCAACGCUCAAGGUCUCAUAGAUACCAGAAUUUUGAAAAUUCGUGUCUGAUUUCUCACAACAUAAAACAAUAGCUGGAUAUAUCUGAGUUAUUCUAGUUCAGCAAGGUCAGAGGGACAGAGAAAAACAGUGUGUGUGACAUCAUGAAUGAAUCCUACCGUGUCUCCUGGCUGUGGACGCAUCACAGACACACGAUCAUAUCCCUUCCUUAGUAGGACCCACAAGGCAUCCAGUUUUCCCUGAAAAGAACAAAAACAACAAGCGCACCGAGAUUACAAAUGAAACCAGAGCAGUGGCCAGCACAGACAUGUAGAACUUUCCAUGCUUCUUCAGUCAUGUGAACAGCAUACACUAGCAAUGUGGUUGUAACAGGCUGAGUGACUCUCCAGGCUCUGAGCUCACAAUGCGGGCUGCAGGAGCCUGGGGGGAGAAGAGGCACAUAACAGACGGCCCUGAUGCUCAUGCAGGGGACACUGGAGGCUUUGGGGCAGCCCCAGAUUUGCAAACACAGAGAAGCUCUUUCAUGUUCAAAAAGCUUUUGCUUUUUACCGUUUCUGGAUAUAUCCCCACACCACAAAUCUAUCUUUUCAACUUUCACCACAGUUUCUUCUUUCCACUUAAUGCCCAGAGUUCACCAAAGCAACAAUGAUGACAAAUUCAGGAAAAUGACUGGAUAGAAAUGUUGACGGAGCAAGACCAGUGAGAGGCCCUGGGGAUGCAGAUCCCUGGCUCUCCCCUUGGCUCACUCAGCACCUACGACUUGCUUGGGAAUCCCAGGCUCAAGGGACAGAUUACAAACAUCGUGGAUUGCCCCAAAUCACAACCCCUUUGGAACUGUAGCAAUGGGUUGAAUCUGAGAAGAGUGAGCCUCUGAGUGUGGGAUGAAGGGAGUCCAAUGCCUCUGGCCAUUCUUGUUCCCUAGCUAGGCUGAGUGAGGCUGAGUUCUCCUGCUGCAAAUACUAAAGGGAAACAAUGACCUUUAUUUAGCUUUGCUCUAUUAACCCUUAACAUGCCACCUUCCAUGACAAAAAGGAUUUGGCAAAUGUGAUUAAGGCAAGGAUCUUGAGAUGGGGAGAUUAUCCUGGAUUGUGCAGGCGGACCCAAUGGGACCAUGUGGAGCCUUAAUAGAGGGAGGCAAGAGGGUCAGAGUCGGAGAAGUUGUGCCAACAGAGUGAUACCGUGUGAAAAAGGUUCAACUCAUGGUUGCUUUGGAGAGGGGCGAGGGGGGCCUCAAAACCAAUGAGUGUGGGCAGCCUCUAGACUCAGGAAAAGACGAGAUGGAUUCUCUCCCAGAGCCUCUAAAAGAGAUGCAACCCUGGCCUCACCUUGAUUUUAGGCGAGAUCUUUUUUGGGCUUCUAACCUCCAGAACUAUAAAAUAAUAAAUUGUGUUAAGUCA